rnacentral:lncRNA from 1 species
CAAACACAAUGGAUAUCAGAGUAAGACGUGGAAACGUGGAUCAAGCAUCCCUCCUCCGUUCCCAACCUUUUAAACAACAUCGUUAGUUUUGAUGAACACAACAUGUAUCUUCUCCUAAAUCCCACCCUCCAAGAUACCAACUUAUGCAUUAUUCUCUCCUUCAAGAUCGCAUUCGAAGCCGAGCGAGUUCCAGGGCCAUUG